GCAAGAAGCACAGCACCGCCAGUUACCACGCAGACAUCCUGGGGAACUGAGCCCACCACCUACCAGAGGUAGUGGAAAAGAAAGGACAUGGGGGAAGUGGACCUGUUUAGAAGUGGUUCUUUGAAGCAGCUCUCAUCUGUGUUAUCAGGAAAUCGGCAGUUUGGUUUACAGGUCAGCAACAGCAGCUUGAUCCACUUGCAAACACUUCACAGAUACACCAGCAGUCCAGUUCGGGAGAGUCCGAAGAGCAAACAUGAAUCAGCAGUAGUGCCAUCACCUAACAGGAACAGCCAGGCCUCAGCCAGAUCAGCACAAGUCAGCAGGAGGGACCAGAACCAACAGGGACACCAGGAGUUCUUUGCUGUGCCUCUCUCAGUGAAGCAAAGAUCAUCAAAGAUGAGAGACCAAGAAGUAUUGCAGAGCUAGCUCUACAAGCAAGCCCCUCUCAGUCCUAUUUACACUCCCUCCAAAAAUCACAUGCUCUCCACAGCUCUUGCCUCAGCAUGUGAGUCUGUCUUAGCAAAACUCCACGAGUCUGUAUCAGCUGACAUCACUCUGCCAGUUGACCCAAGUCCUCAGAAGCUGCAAGAAGCCGCAGCAUACCAGAAGGUUUUUUUGGUGUAUUUCGAUUUCUGGAGUCCUGACAAAUGGCGCUCAACUACACAAUUUAAGGCAGACCAAUACUUGUGUGUUGUUAAUGAAGAAUCCGUCACCAUGUGUCCUUUCACGUGUUUGCUUUAGCAGAAAAUCCUUUCACGCAUGUCUGCUUCAGUGAAACAUUCCUUCACAAGUCUGCCUUAGCAAAACAUCCUUUCACCUGUGUCCACUUCAGGGAAAAACUCCUUCAUGUGUUUGUCCCAGCAAAACACCAUCCAACACAACUGACUUUCCAAAGAACCCUUCAACCUAAAAAAAAAAGAAGAAGACUCGGAAACCACCUUAGAAAUGCAUCUCACAAAAUACCUGCCAGGCCAUUAGAAAACUACAGAAAGAUUUUAAACACAUGUCUGAAAAUACCCUAAAUAUCCUAAAGACACACUUCUUUCCCCAGAAGUAAUCUAUAUAUGUAAUAUGAUUCCAAAUAAAAUUUCAACAGGGUCUUAAAAAAU
ensembl:antisense